rnacentral:ncRNA from 1 species
GGAAAUUCUAUGAUUGGAAAAAGUAGAUAGGCAGCAAAGGCAUAGCGAGUCGGGGAUGGUGGAAGCCUGAUGCAGAGGUGCUUAUUGAAUGGUUCCAGGAGAAGCUGUGUGAAAUCCGCUUGGAGAGUAGCAUAAAGCCGUCAGCCUUACGUUACAGAGGCAGGAUAUCGAAAGCGUACUACGGUUUCUGUAUCUGAGAAAGUGAGAUAGAUUCUAUCUGUCUAAAGUAGGUGGCAACGCGGAAUGAGAACAUUUCGUCCUAUCA